GAUGAACGCUGGCGGCGUGCCUAAUACAUGCAAGUCGAGCGAACAGACGAGGAGCUUGCUCCUCUGACGUUAGCGGCGGACGGGUGAGUAACACGUGGAUAACCUACCUAUAAGACUGGGAUAACUUCGGGAAACCGGAGCUAAUACCGGAUAAUAUAUUGAACCGCAUGGUUCAAUAGUGAAAGACGGUUUUGCUGUCACUUAUAGAUGGAUCCGCGCCGCAUUAGCUAGUUGGUAAGGUAACGGCUUACCAAGGCAACGAUGCGUAGCCGACCUGAGAGGGUGAUCGGCCACACUGGAACUGGGACACGGUCCAGACUCCUACGGGAGGCAGCAGUAGGGAAUCUUCCGCAAUGGGCGAAAGCCUGACGGAGCAACGCCGCGUGAGUGAUGAAGGUCUUCGGAUCGUAAAACUCUGUUAUUAGGGAAAAACAAAUGUGUAAGUAACUAUGCACGUCUUGACGGUACCUAAUCAGAAAGCCACGGCUAACUACGUG
rnacentral:rRNA from 1 species